ACUCAGGAAUUCUUUCCUUUGCUUGUUGAGGCCAAGCCACAAGUACAACUCCAGCUUAGCCUGGACGGUCCAACCGGCUGGGCCGAAACCCUUUUUACCAGGCAGCUGAGGGAAAACAACAGAGAUGUUUGAGAUGGAAUCCAUCUGCACCUCGGUUGAGCUGAGGAUCUCCGGGGACGUCGUGUCCAGGAUCUCCACGGCGAUGGACAGCAGCAGACGGGCUCGGAAGGAUACGCCCUCGCCCAGGCCGUCGUUUAGGUCCUGGUGCUCGUCCAUGAGCGUGUACUGGCGUGUGGAGCCGUACAUGUUGGCCCAGGCCGGACCCAAGGACUCACAAGCCAGAGGUGGAGCUCAGCGUGAUGCUAAGAAGCAUCUUGCGACUAAAGUGCUUCGGGGAGUCUUCACUGUGAGCUAUUUUGCAUUGAUGAGGAAUUGAGAGCAUCUACGCUACUAUAGGAUGAGACCUCUUAUUGGAGAUGUUGGUGGUGACGGCAGUGACAGAGGCCAAAGAGAUGGCGUCCGGUUCCAACAUUCCAGCGAGACGCAUCGCCUUCUUGUCCAGGUCCUCCAUUUCCAGCACUGCCG